GAUGAACGCUGGCGGCGUGCCUAAUACAUGCAAGUCGAGCGAACGGACGAGAAGCUUGCUUUUCUGAUGUUAGCGGCGGGCGGGUGAGUAACACGUGGAUAACCUACCUAUAAGACUGGGAUAACUUCGGGAAACCGGAGCUAAUACCGGAUAAUAUUUUGAACCGCAUGGUUCAAAAGUGAAAGACGGUCGUGCUGUCACUUAUAGAUGGAUCCGCGCUGCAUUAGCUAGUUGGUAAGGUAACGGCUUACCAAGGCAACGAUGCAUAGCCGACCUGAGAGAGUGAUCGGCCACACUGGAACUGAGACACGGUCCAGACUCCUACGGGAGGCAGCAGUAGGGAAUCUUCCGCAAUGGGCGAAAGCCUGACGGAGCAACGCCGCGUGAGUGAUGAAGGUCUUCGGAUCGUAAAACUCUGUUAUUAGGGAAGAACAUAUGUGUAAGUAACUGUGCACAUCUUGACGGUACCUAAUCAGAAAGCCACGGCUAACUACGUG
rnacentral:rRNA from 1 species